ensembl:lncRNA
CUCCUUCUUCCUGAUCAGCCUCUUUUAAGUCCGUGUAUAUUUUGGGUCCGUGUAUAUUUUGGCAAUUGGAUUUUCCUUUCUGAAAUGGUUUUCAGUUCAGUAAUUCAGUCCUUCGGCUGAUUGGACCAACAGACACUGAAGGACUCCGACAGCUGAGUGAAAGUAGCAGUUCCUCCUGAAGGUCAGAGAUUGCAGCAUCUGAGGGCCUCUUCAAAAGAAGAUGUAGUUGAUGAAGACGUUCUGGAGCAGGACCAGAAAGACCACGACCAAGCAGCCUUGAGAUCUUAGACAGCGUCUCCCUCAGGUCCCUCUCUAUCUCCCUACACAUCCACCAACCACUGGAACACAUCUCCAAAGUUCUGCUGGGCCAGCUCAGCUUCCCCUCAGAAGAAGUGCUGCCACCUGCCAGAUGAAGGAGCCUUUUGAGAGGCAGCUGGCAUCGUGAUUGGACUGUACUUUGGUCUGUUCCAAUCCAGCUUCAGCUCCAGAGACGGCAGGCGGGACGAGUCAACGGAGGCCGGGUGGAUGAAGACAUGCAGCUGAGUACAAUCCAGAAAACAACAGAGGAGGAGUGCAGCAGCCCAGAGCCAGAACAACCAGAGUAGCAUCGUAUGUCCCUUAGAAAACAUCAUAGUUUAGCCUUUGGUAUGAAAAAACACCAUCAUAUACAUCGUAUAUUGUACAAAUAACAAGUCAAAGGAAAGAGACAUACAUUGUAGAAUUGUAGUAAUUGUGGGCUGACUGAUUUACUGAUUAUCAGUAUUUUAUUUUUUACUGAUUUACGGUAAUAAAUCAGUUUAAGAAUGGUGCUACUUUGGCUCUGAAACUUAAUCUACCUGUGGUCGCUCUGUCUUCUGGAGUGAUUUGAUUGGUUAUACGUCACGAAUAAAACUCCUUUAACUUAACAUCUGUAAACAAAACAAAAACGUAUCAACAAAGUUUUCUGUUAGAGUUUGUGUUCUUCUAAGUUUAACUCCAAGAUUUUAAAUACUUUCAUUUACUGCAAAUGAAUAUGUACUCCAAAUGUCUCACUAAUAAUCAUUAUCAGCCUUAAAAACCCACAAAACACCCCUCUAUACUGGACCACACUUAGUACAGUCCGGUUCCCCCUUCUAUAAAUCUGCUUGGAAUCGUCCACUUCCUGUUUGUCAAAGUGGCCUUCUACCUGGACAGGUUUUGUUGGAGCUCAUGCAACAAACAUUUUGGGUAACUGCACUUUAAUAUGGAUGGAUGACACUGAAUUAGAGUCUGUUUUAAUGAGACUGAGUUAAGAUGUGUAGCUCUGUCAUUAAAUAGGAAAUUAUUUCUCAGAAUUCACAGAGAAAAGUCUGAAAUGUUUGCUAGGUUAGCGUCCCACAUGUUCUUUGGCUCAGCUAAAGCUAACUCUCUCCAACUUCUGGAUCUCUUGAGUUGCUUGUUGUUAAAAUAUCUUGCUAGAGGUGCUGAAGCUCAGAAAGUCUGAGAUGUUUGUUCAGAAUAAGCUCAUUCUCACGUCUGAUCUGAACUGUCCUCUUUUGUUUGAACUUUCCCUAAACUUAGGAGUUAAUGACAGAGCAGCACAUCCAGACUCAGUCUCAUUUAUGUAGAGAUUAAACUUCAGUGUCAUUCAUUGAUGUUAAAGUGCAGUUUUUCAAAUGUUUGUUGCACAUGCUCCCGACCACACCAGUCCAGGUGGAAGACGAUGUGAAGAGAAAGCUCCAGAGGAUGAAUAUCACACAUUUACGUUGGAAAUUAAUGCCCUUUAAUUAGACGUUGUCAUGCAAAAGUUGGAUUUCCCUUUAAUGAUGUUCAAAUCUUUGUUGAGUGUUUUGUUGAUGUUGGUUUCUAAAUGUUUUCUGACACUCGGCCCCAAAGAUUAAAACCUUUUACGGCUCACAAGCUGCAACAAUUCACACAUUAUCAACUAUCUUUCUGACUAAACUAAGAUCAAAAGUGAAAAAAUGCCUGAUUCCUGCAUCAUGAAUGUAAAUCUUUUUGGUUUUUAUGACAGUAAACUGAAUAUAUUUGGGUUUGAAAUUUUAUAAAACAAAACAAGAAAUGAAUUAGUGGAGAAAACAAUCAACAGAUUAAUGGAGAAAGAAAAUGUGUUUUCCAACAUAUAUGGCUGAAUUACUCCAACAUUACAAGAUACAUACAAUUUGAAUACAAUUUUAUUUAUAUAACGCCAAUUAAAGGUCAAAUUGUCUCAAGAUGCUUUAUUUUUAUUUUUUUUGUCAUAUUUAAAAUACGACAAAGUAAGAAAUUUAAAGCUCUUGACUAAUCCAAUUUAUUAUUUGUUUUUUAACAGACUAAUGGACAAUUAAAAUAAGUUUCUCCACUAAAACUAAUAAACAUGAGGUCAAAUAGAAGGAAGAGUUUUAAAUACUGCAGUCCCACGACAAGAAUGAAGUUUGUCAACAAAAAAGUAAAUCUGCUGGUGGAUUCCAUUAAAGUCCUAAUAAAUGAUAAUAAAGUGUGAUACUAAAGGUUUGUGGUGCUAAAAAUAUCCAAGUAAAGAUAUCAAGUUGAACAUGUGGAUGGAGGUUGAUAAAAGUUGACUUCCCUUCAUUUCUGUGGAGCGAUUUUAUGGAUGGUGGUUAAAGACCUGCUCUUCUAGUCGUCUUCCUUCUAGUCGCUGUAAAAAGUCAGUCCAUCCUGGCCGACUUCAACACCUCUUCAUGACAACUUGUUCUGCCUCCGAUCUGGUGGAAACUCCAGAAACUCGUGAAAACCUGUCGAGACUUGAGGAACUCAUCGAGACUGGAAGAAUUCGUGGAGACUCGAAGAACUCGUGGGGCGGGGGAAGGUGUGG